ensembl:lncRNA
GGCCACGACUGUAGGUGCGACAACAUAAAUUUCAAAAGGGACCAUCAAAUGAAGUGAAACCACUUUAUUAAAUAAUAAUAAUAAAAAAAACAAUAAAUUGAUGUUAUAAUUUGACGUUGUCAGUAUUUGAUGUCAAUGUGACAUUGGCUUGAGACGUUGGCUCGACGUUGGGUUUAGGUUAGUUAAUAUCACAACCUAAAAACAAACUAAAGAUCAAAGUCAAAUGAUGUUAUAAUUGGACGUUGAUUGGACGUUACCAUUAUGACGUCUUGAAGACAUUGGAUUUUGGUUGCCAUACCUGACGACUAAGUAUCAGUUUUUGAUGUCAAUCUGACGUUGGCUUGAGACGUUGUCUUGAUGUUGGAUUUUGGUUAGUUA